rnacentral:tRNA from 1 species
GCCGCGGCAGCCUAGCCUGGCUGGGCGCGGGACUGCAGCCGGGCACGGUCCCGGCGGAUAUCCCGUUACCCGGGUUCAAAUCCCGGCCGCGGCU